rnacentral:rRNA from 1 species
GAGUGGCGAACUGGUGAGUAACACGUGGGAAACCUGCCCAGAAGCGGGGGAUAACACCUGGAAACAGAUGCUAAUACCGCAUAACAACUUGGACCGCAUGGUCCGAGCUUGAAAGAUGGCUUCGGCUAUCACUUUUGGAUGGUCCCGCGGCGUAUUAGCUAGAUGGUGGGGUAACGGCUCACCAUGGCAAUGAUACGUAGCCGACCUGAGAGGGUAAUCGGCCACAUUGGGACUGAGACACGGCCCAAACUCCUACGGGAGGCAGCAGUAGGGAAUCUUCCACAAUGGACGAAAGUCUGAUGGAGCAACGCCGCGUGAGUGAAGAAGGGUUUCGGCUCGUAAAACUCUGUUGUUAAAGAAGAACAUAUCUGAGAGUAACUGUUCAGGUAUUGACGGUAUUUAACCAGAAAGCCACGGCUAACUACGUGCCAGCAGCCGCGGUAAUACGUAGGUGGCAAGCGUUGUCCGGAUUUAUUGGGCGUAAAGCGAGCGCAGGCGGUUUUUUAAGUCUGAUGUGAAAGCCUUCGGCUCAACCGAAGAAGUGCAUCGGAAACUGGGAAACUUGAGUGCAGAAGAGGACAGUGGAACUCCAUGUGUAGCGGUGAAAUGCGUAGAUAUAUGGAAGAACACCAGUGGCGAAGGCGGCUGUCUGGUCUGUAACUGACGCUGAGGCUCGAAAGUAUGGGUAGCAAACAGGAUUAGAUACCCUGGUAGUCCAUACCGUAAACGAUGAAUGCUAAGUGUUGGAGGGUUUCCGCCCUUCAGUGCUGCAGCUAACGCAUUAAGCAUUCCGCCUGGGGAGUACGGCCGCAAGGCUGAAACUCAAAGGAAUUGACGGGGGCCCGCACAAGCGGUGGAGCAUGUGGUUUAAUUCGAAGCUACGCGAAGAACCUUACCAGGUCUUGACAUACUAUGCAAAUCUAAGAGAUUAGACGUUCCCUUCGGGGACAUGGAUACAGGUGGUGCAUGGUUGUCGUCAGCUCGUGUCGUGAGAUGUUGGGUUAAGUCCCGCAACGAGCGCAACCCUUAUUAUCAGUUGCCAGCAUUAAGUUGGGCACUCUGGUGAGACUGCCGGUGACAAACCGGAGGAAGGUGGGGAUGACGUCAAAUCAUCAUGCCCCUUAUGACCUGGGCUACACACGUGCUACAAUGGAUGGUACAACGAGUUGCGAACUCGCGAGAGUAAGCUAAUCUCUUAAAGCCAUUCUCAGUUCGGAUUGUAGGCUGCAACUCGCCUACAUGAAGUCGGAAUCGCUAGUAAUCGCGGAUCAGCAUGCCGCGGUGAAUACGUUCCCGGGCCUUGUACACACCGCCCGUCACACCAUGAGAGUUUGUAACACCCAAAGUCGGUGGGGUAACCUUUUAGGAACCAGCCGCCC